GCUGCCUCACCUUCCUAAUGAACUCUGCCCUCUGUAGCUGUAAGCCGAGAUACACCCUUUCAUCCUAAACUCGCCUUUGUCAGGAAGAAGAAAAGACUAUCAUCGUGAUGUGGACUGAGACUUCAGACACUAUAGACCGUGUGAAAUCCAGGCUGUGGAAGUGGCUCAGUGGUGAAGCACAUGCCCUGAUUUUCUGUUACCUAUAAACAAGAAUGUGAGGACCUGCAUUUGAGUCUCUAGCACUCCUCCUGGGACGUGGGAAGUGGAGAACCCCCAGGAGCAGGCAGUUGAGUGCCAGAAUGGGUAUGUGGCGAUCAGAAGACAACGUGGAGAGUUCACUCACGCCUUCAGUGUGGGACCCAGGGAUCAAACUCAUGUCCUCAGCACUUGACAGCAGUGCCUUUACUUUGCCCUGGGACCAUCUCACUGACUCUGGCACACCAUAUAUUUAAUCAGUAACUUUUUUUUCUUGUUAGUAAUAAGUAAUUAAUAAAUAAA
rnacentral:lncRNA from 1 species